ACUGGAAGUCCAGGGUUCUCACUCAGUGAUCAGGACUGAAUACGGGAGGCUCACUAUGGAAUUUACAAAGAGCUGGGUUUUCCUCUUUGCUAUUUUAAAAGCUGUCCAGGCUGAGGUGCAGCUGGUGGAGUCCGGGGGAAGCUUGGUGCAGCCUGGAGGGUCCCUGAGACUCUCCUGUGCAGCCUCUGGCUUCACCUUCAGUAACUACUACAUGCACUGGGUUCGCCAGGCUCCAGGGAAGGGGCUGGAGUGGAUCUCAGGCAUCAGUAGCAGUGGUGGUAGUACAUACUACGCAGAGUCCGUGAAGGGCCGAUUCACCAUCUCCAGAGACAACAGCAAGAACAUGCUGUAUCUGCAAAUGAACAACGUGAGAACCGAGGACACUGCGUUGUAUUAUUGUGCAAAAGACACAGUGAGAGAAUGUCCAUGUGCAGCCAGACAAAAAUCUCCUGGCAGGGACACUGAUGACCAGCAGGGGGCGAUGGAGAUCCACUGA